rnacentral:tRNA from 1 species
GACCGCGUAGCUCAGUUGGAAGAGCAUUGGGCUAGUAUUCCAAAGGUCGUAGGUUUGAAUCCCACCGUGGCUG